GACGAACGCUGGCGGCGUGCUUAACACAUGCAAUUUCGAACGGAAAGGCCCUGCUUGCAGGGUGCUCGAGUGGCGAACGGGUGAGUAACACGUGGGUGAUCUGCCCCUUACUUUGGGAUAAGCCUGGGAAACUGGGUCUAAUACUGGAUAGGACCAUGCUGUAGGUGGUGUGGUGGAAAGAUUUUUUCGGUAAGGGAUGAGCUCGCGGCCUAUCAGCUUGUUGGUGGGGUAAUGGCCUACCAAGGCGUCGACGGGUAGCCGGCCUGAGAGGGUGGACGGCCACAUUGGGACUGAGAUACGGCCCAGACUCCCACGGGAGGCAGCAGUGGGGAAUAUUGCACAAUGGGCGCAAGCCUGAUGCAGCGACGCCGCGUGGGGGAUGACGGCCUUCGGGUUGUAAACUCCUUUCAGCUAUGACGAAGCCCUGUGGGGUGACGGUAGUGGUAGAAGAAGCACCGGCUAACUACGUGCCAGCAGCCGCGGUAAUACGUAGGGUGCGAGCGUUGUCCGGAAUUACUGGGCGUAAAGAGCUCGUAGGUGGUCUGUCGCGUCAUUUGUGAAAGCCCGGGGCUUAACUCCGGGUUGGCAGGUGAUACGGGCAUGACUGGAGUACUGUAGGGGAGACUGGAAUUCCUGGUGUAGCGGUGAAAUGCGCAGAUAUCAGGAGGAACACCGGUGGCGAAGGCGGGUCUCUGGGCAGUAACUGACGCUGAGGAGCGAAAGCAUGGGUAGCGAACAGGAUUAGAUACCCUGGUAGUCCAUGCCGUAAACGGUGGGCGCUAGGUGUGGGUUUCCUUCCACGGGAUCCGUGCCGUAGCUAACGCAUUAAGCGCCCCGCCUGGGGAGUACGGCCGCAAGGCUAAAACUCAAAGGAAUUGACGGGGGCCCGCACAAGCGGCGGAGCAUGUGGAUUAAUUCGAUGCAACGCGAAGAACCUUACCUGGGCUUGACAUGCACUGGAUGCGGCCAGAGAUGGUUGUUCCCUUUGUGGCUGGUGUGCAGGUGGUGCAUGGUUGUCGUCAGCUCGUGUCGUGAGAUGUUGGGUUAAGUCCCGCAACGAGCGCAACCCUUGUCUCGUGUUGCCAGCAUUUGGUUGGGGACUCGCGGGAGACUGCCGGGGUUAACUCGGAGGAAGGUGGGGAUGACGUCAAAUCAUCAUGCCCCUUAUGUCCAGGGCUUCACACAUGCUACAAUGGCUGGUACAGAGAGUUGCGAUACCGUGAGGUGGGGCUAAUCUCGUAAAGCCAGUCUCAGUUCGGAUUGGAGUCUGCAACUCGACUCCAUGAAGUCGGAGUCGCUAGUAAUCGCAGAUCAGCAAUGCUGCGGUGAAUACGUUCCCGGGCCU
rnacentral:rRNA from 1 species